UUUUUGUGUUCUUAUUCUAUGAACUAUCGUAUACAGGUUACUGUUGAAAACAGGAGCCGCACAGGAUUUCUACUGUAGAUUGCUUUUAUUUUUCCUUUUUAUUGAAAGCAGUAAUUUUUUUUAAAAAAAAAGAAUUUUAUAAAUGAUUUUGAUAAUAGAAAUAUUUAGUUAUUUAAUUUUUCUUUUUGGAUUUUAAAUAAAAAUAGAAU
rnacentral:lncRNA from 1 species